rnacentral:rRNA from 1 species
GACGAACGCUGGCGGCGUGCUUAACACAUGCAAGUCGAGCGGUAAGGCCCUUUCGGGGGUACACGAGCGGCGAACGGGUGAGUAACACGUGGGUGACCUGCCCUCAGCUCUGGGAUAAGCCUGGGAAACCGGGUCUAAUACUGGAUAUGACUCCAUGACGCAUGUUGUGGGGUGGAAAGCCUUGUGCGGCUGAGGAUGGGCCCGCGGCCUAUCAGCUUGUUGGUGGGGUGANGGCCUACCAAGGCGACGACGGGUAGCCGGCCUGAGAGGGCGACCGGCCACACUGGGACUGAGACACGGCCCAGACUCCUACGGGAGGCGGCAGGUGGGGAAUCUUGCGCAAUGGGCGAAAGCCUGACGCAGCGACGCCGCGUGAGGGAUGACGGCCUGGUU